rnacentral:rRNA from 1 species
GACGAACGCUGGCGGCGUGCUUAACACAUGCGAGUCGAACGAUGAAGCCGGAGCUUGCUCUGGUGAAUUAGUGGCGAACGGGUGAGUAACACGUGAGUAACCUGCCCUUGACUCUGGGAUAACUGCGGGAAACUGUAGCUAAUACCGGAUACGACCCUCGGAGGCAUCUCCUGGGGGUGGAAAGAAUUUCGGUCAAGGAUGGACUCGCGGCCUAUCAGCUAGUUGGUGAGGUAAAGGCUCACCAAGGCGACGACGGGUAGCCGGCCUGAGAGGGUGACCAGCCACACUGGGACUGAGACACGGCCCAGACUCCUACGGGAGGCAGCAGUGGGGAAUAUUGCACAAUGGGCGCAAGCCUGAUGCAGCAACGCCGCGUGAGGGAUGACGGCCUUCGGGUUGUAAACCUCUUUUAGCAGGGAAGGAGCGAAAGUGACGGUACCUGCAGAAAAAGCACCGGCUAACUACGUGCCAGCCGCCGCCGUAA